GAUGAACGCUAGCGGCAGGCCUAACACAUGCAAGUCGAGGGGCAUCACGGAUUGCUUGCAAUCUGGUGGCGACCGGCGCACGGGUGCGUAACGCGUAUACAACCUACCUUUUGGAGGGGAAUAGCCCAGAGAAAUUUGGAUUAAUACCCCAUAGUAUAUAGGAAUCUCCUGAUUUUUAUAUUAAACAUUUAUGGCCAUUAGAUGGGUAUGCGUCCUAUUAGCUAGUUGGUGUGGUAACGGCACACCAAGGCUACGAUAGGUAGGGGCCCUGAGAGGGAGAUCCCCACACUGGUACUGAGACACGGACCAGACUCCUACGGGAGGCAGCAGUGAGGAAUAUUGGACAAUGGGCGGGAGCCUGAUCCAGCCAUGCCGCGUGCAGGAAGACUGCCCUAUGGGUUGUAAACUGCUUUUACAGAGGAAGAACCACCCCCACGUGUGGGGGUUUGACGGUACUCUGCGAAUAAGGAUCGGCUAACUCCGUG
rnacentral:rRNA from 1 species